UAGGGAAUCUCCCGCAAUGGGCGAAAGCUUGACGGAGCAACGCCGCGUGAGUGAUGAAGGUCUUCGGAUCGUAAAACUCUGUUAUUAGGGAAGAACAAAUGUGUAAGUAACUAUGCACGUCUUGACGGUACCUAAUCAGAAAGCCACGGCUAACUACGUGCCAGCAGCCGCGGUAAUACGUAGGUGGCAAGCGUUAUCCGGAAUUAUUGGGCGUAAAGCGCGCGUAGGCGGUUUUUUAAGUCUGAUGUGAAAGCCCACGGCUCAACCGUGGAGGGUCAUUGGAAACUGGAAAACUUGAGUGCAGAAGAGGAAAGUGGAAUUCCAUGUGUAGCGGUGAAAUGCGCAGAGAUAUGGAGGAACACCAGUGGCGAAGGCGACUUUCUGGUCUGUAACUGACGCUGAUGUGCGAAAGCGUGGGGAUCAAACAGG
rnacentral:rRNA from 1 species